ACGAAAGCGUGGGUAGCAAACAGGAUUAGAUACCCUGGUAGUCCACGCCCUAAACGAUGUCAACUGGUUGUUGGGGGAGUGAAAUCCCUUAGUAACGAAGCUAACGCGUGAAGUUGACCGCCUGGGGAGUACGGUCGCAAGAUUAAAACUCAAAGGAAUUGACGGGGACCCGCACAAGCGGUGGAUGAUGUGGAUUAAUUCGAUGCAACGCGAAAAACCUUACCUACCCUUGACAUGUCCGGAAUCCUGCUGAGAGGUGGGAGUGCCCGAAAGGGAAUCGGAACACAGGUGCUGCAUGGCUGUCGUCAGCUCGUGUCGUGAGAUGUUGGGUUAAGUCCCGCAACGAGCGCAACCCUUAUCAUUAGUUGCUACGCAAGGGCACUCUAAUGAGACUGCCGGUGACAAACCGGAGGAAGGUGGGGAUGACGUCAAGUCCUCAUGGCCCUUAUGGGUAGGGCUUCACACGUCAUACAAUGGUCGGUACAGAGGGUUGCCAAGCCGCGAGGCGGAGCCAAUCCCAGAAAGCCGAUCGUAGUCCGGAUUGUUCUCUGCAACUCGAGAGCAUGAAGUCGGAAUCGCUAGUAAUCGCGGAUCAGCAUGUCGCGGUGAAUACGUUCCCGGGUCUUGUACACACCGCCCGUCACACCAUGGGAGUGGAAUCUGGCAGAAGUAGGUAGCCUAACCCGCAAGG
rnacentral:rRNA from 1 species